UACGUAGGUGGCGAGCGCUGUCCGGAUUUACUGGGCGUAAAGAGCGCGCAGGCGGUCGUGCAAGUCGCGUGUGAAAGCCCCCGGCUCAACUGGGGAGGGUCACGCGAUACUGCUCGACUUGAAGGCAGGAGAGGGAAGUGGAAUUCCCGGUGUAGUGGUGAAAUGCGUAGAUAUCGGGAGGAACACCAGUGGCGAAGGCGACUUCCUGGCCUGUUCUUGACGCUGAGGCGCGAAAGCUAGGGUAGCAAACGGG
rnacentral:rRNA from 1 species